GAAGGUUUGGCUAUCGUCCCGCAACAUCCCCAUUCAGGCGUCAUCACGUAAGCUGGCUCCCAGAUACAUCGGCCCUUACGUGAUUGAUCGCAUCAUCAAUCCCUCCUGUGUCCGCCUGCGCCUGCCUGCUGCUCUGAAAGUUCACCCCUCGUUCCACGUUUCCCAGAUCAAACCUGUCAGCGAUAGCCCUUUGUGCCCGCCGUCCUCUUCCCCUCCGCCCGCCCGGGUCGUUGACGGUGCGCCUGCCUUUACGGUCAGUCGUGUGCUGGACGUCCGGCGCCGUGGUAGGGGCUUCCAGUUUCUCGUGGACUGGUUGGGGUACGGUCCGGAAGAGCGCUCAUGGAUCUCCCGCUCUGUGAUUCUGGACCGUUCCCUGAUCGACGACUUCUUCCGUGCCCACCCGGACCGUCGUCCUGGACCGCCUGGAGGCGGUCGUUGAGGGGGGGGGUACUGACAUGGUGCCUCGGUCAGCUACCUGCCUCCUCCCCCCUUCCUGCUCUGCCUUGGAUGCGACCAGCUGGUUCCACUUACCUCAUCAUCUUCCCCGCCUUCUUAAGGAGAUCCAGGACCUUUCUUCGGUGCCAGUUCGUUGUUACUCCCACGGAACCGUCUUCAUCACAAGGGAACCUCGGGUCGCCGUCCUCUGCUCUCGCUCCUCAUCCUUCUCCUCGGACUCAGCCGAAGUCAUGCUCUCUGGUUCAUCCUGCCACAAACCUCCAGUCAGCCGCCACGCCGCAUCAAGAAUCUAGUUCUAUACUCACCUCCUGUGAAUUAAACCACCUUAACUUAC